rnacentral:rRNA from 1 species
UACGUAGGGUGCAAGCGUUGUCCGGAAUUAUUGGGCGUAAAGAGCUCGUAGGCGGUUUGUCGCGUCUGCUGUGAAAACCUAGGGCUUAACCCUGGGCCUGCAGUGGGUACGGGCAGACUAGAGUGCGGUAGGGGAGAGCUGGAAUCCUGGUGUAGCGGUGAAAUGCGCAGAUAUCAGGAGGAACACCGGUGGCGAAGGCGGGUCUCUGGGCCGUAACUGACGCUGAGGAGCGAAAGCAUGGGGAGCGAACAGG